rnacentral:rRNA from 1 species
AGUGAGCGCUGGCGGUAGGCCUAACACAUGCAAGUCGAACGGCAGCACAGUAAGAGCUUGCUCUUACGGGUGGCGAGUGGCGGACGGGUGAGGAAUACAUCGGAAUCUACUUUUUCGUGGGGGAUAACGUAGGGAAACUUACGCUAAUACCGCAUACGACCUACGGGUGAAAGCAGGGGAUCUUCGGACCUUGCGCGAUUGAAUGAGCCGAUGUCGGAUUAGCUAGUUGACGGGGUAAAGGCCCACCAAGGCGACGAUCCGUAGCUGGUCUGAGAGGAUGAUCAGCCACACUGGAACUGAGACACGGUCCAGACUCCUACGGGAGGCAGCAGUGGGGAAUAUUGGACAAUGGGCGCAAGCCUGAUCCAGCCAUACCGCGUGGGUGAAGAAGGCCUUCGGGUUGUAAAGCCCUUUUGUUGGGAAAGAAAAGCAGCAGGUUAAUACCCCGCUGUUCUGACGGUACCCAAAGAAUAAGCACCGGCUAACUUCGUG